GAUCAUGGCUCAGGACGAACGCUGGCGGCGUGCCUAACACAUGCAAGUCGAGCGGGGACACACGACGGACUCAAAGUUUCGGAUGGAGAGGAAGAUGUGUGUUCUAGCGGCGGACGGGUGAGUAACGCGUGAGCAACCUGUCCCUUACAGGGGGAUAACACAGCGAAAGUUGUACUAAUACCGCAUAAGACCACGGUGUCACAUGACAGAGGGGGUCAAAGGAGCAAUCCGGUGAGGGGUGGGCUCGCGUCCGAUUAGAUAGUUGGUGAGGUAACGGCCCCACCAAGUCGACGAUCGGUAGCCGACCUGAGAGGGUGAUCGGCCACAUUGGGACUGAGACACGGCCCAGACUCCUACGGGAGGCAGCAGUGGGGAAUAUUGCACAAUGGGGGGAAAAACCCCCUGAUGCAGCGACGCCGCGUGAAGGAAGAAGUAUUUCGGUAUGUAAACUUCUAUCGAUGGGGAAGAAAAUGACGGUACCCAGGUAAGAAGCCCCGGCUAACUACGUGCCAGCCGCGGC
rnacentral:rRNA from 1 species